UAUAUUUUAUGCUUAUAUAAUGCAUAGAAAUUCUGACCCCCAGCAGGGAGAUUUGACUGAGAAGUGGGAUCUUUAAUGGUGGGAAAAAGCGAUGGCUACUUUUAUAGAAUCGGAAGGGAAAUGGAGGUAUUCUUCAGAUCUUCCCCAAUGCAACAAUGGACUGCAUAAUUCGCUGCUGAUCUCCUUGCCAAAACCCGAUCAAGACUACAGCUGCUAUAAAGCGCUAGAGAAAGACACCUUAGCAGUCAUUUCUCCCUCCCAUGGAAUGCAAAGCUUUCAGUAAGCAAUCCACAAGGCCAUUUAUCUGUUCAAAAGAUGCGAGGUUGCCCCGUAGAGGGCACACGCCAUUGAAAAGCGUAGUGGGCUGUUUCUUUCACUCUGUUAACAGUAACUUCCACCCAAGACCACUAGUUUGAGGAUAUUAGCGAAACCAGUGUCACAUUUGAAGCUUUCUAGGGCACCCAAGUCAAAUUAUGUAGGCUCUAUUAAGAAACUUGGAGAAGAUUAGCUUUGAUCUUAGCCACACUACCAAGCUAGUCUCACACCAAGUGGAAAGGAAUGAUCUCAACAAAUGGUGAUGGUGGGGAGGAGCAGGGGUGGUGAUAUAGAUGUACUUCGAUGGGCAGGUCCUCCACUAAACGAAAAGCCUCCCCAAGACAUCAAAAACUUUACUAAAGGAAAAUGCUCUCUCUCCCACACUUCAGGUUGCCUGAUCAGCUUGAGUGGAUCAUAUGGUCAACAAUAUCAUUAGACAGAUGUGGACUUGUCUUUCUUUUCUUGUCUCGUGCUUGUCCAUGCCUUGUUGCGAAUUCUUUCUCCUAAAGAUCUGUGUGGAUUUUCAGAGUAGAGGGUGGAUGAGCUCUCCAAGACUUUUAUGGUGGUAUAUCGUGUUUUGUCCAUUGUACUUGUAUUGUACACACAGUAGAGUAGAUUCG
rnacentral:lncRNA from 1 species